ACUGAGUCCACAGCGCCUUCAGGGGGUACAGAACAAAAAUUAAAUAACUGAAAGUCAUUCGUUGUAGAAAUUUCAGAGAACGCUUCAUUUUUAUGUGAACCUUUAUUAUUCUUCUGCAAAAAAAAACAAAAUGGAUCCGAAAUUGUGCAACAGGUGAUUUAAGUGUACUUAUAUUAUUACUAAGGUAUAUUGCAUUGAAUCGGUAUCGGUUACCAAUACCGAAACUUUGGGUACCGAGUAUUGGGGCAACUCUGCACAUCACUAUUUUUUAAAAAUGACACUUUCAUUGAGGGCAAUUGCAGCACAUAUCACAAUUUCCUGAAUGGCACGAGUGAUUAUGAUGCGCCUUCUUUGGAGAUAUUCCACCCAAAACUCUCAUUCAUCCAAGUACGGCAUAUUUACAACUCGUAAUCGAGUUCGCCUGAAGGAUGAAUGAGGAAUUAUAGUAUGCUGAAUGGAAGUGCGUGGCUCUUGGGAACUUCACAGGGCAGAUUUACAAAACUGCAGAAUGGAGCUAUACCAGCAGCACUUCAACGGCGUCUUGCGGCCAACAAA